rnacentral:rRNA from 1 species
UACGAAGGGUGCAAGCGUUAAUCGGAAUUACUGGGCGUAAAGGGUGCGUAGGCGGUUCGUUAAGUCUGUUUGGAAAUCCCCGGGCUCAACCUGGGAAUGGCAAUGGAUACUGGCGAGCUAGAGUGUGAUAGAGGAUGGUGGAAUUCCCGGUGUAGCGGUGAAAUGCGUAGAGAUCGGGAGGAACAUCAGUGGCGAAGGCGGCCAUCUGGAUCAACACUGACGCUGAAGCACGAAAGCGUGGGGAGCAAACAGG